UGUUUUGCCUGCGUACACGGCAGUGUACUGUAUACAUGAGUACCCAGGAAAGCUAGGAGAGGGUGUUGGAUUCUCUGGGACUGGAGUUACAGGCAGCUGUGAGCUGUCAUGUGGAUGCUGGAAACCAAACACAGGUCUUCUGCAAGAGCAACAAGUGCUGUUAACUCCCGAGCCAUCUCUUCAGCUCCCCUUUGCUUCUCUUUGGUUUAUUUGUUUUUUUGUUUGUUCUUUAGAAGAAACUGCCAUUUGGAUUUAAAUACUUUGGAAGUCUCCACAUCUGGAUAUUAGUUUUGGGGCACUAGGCUAUCUCUAUCUGCCACUCCUUCAUCCUGAAGGCAUUCUGCCGACUCAAGCUGUGGCUUGAAAUAUAGGAUCUAAGAGUCUAGCCUAAGGUAUAGAGGGUCAGGCAGAUGUUCCUAUCUCAGGCUUGUAAUGCAAAACAGUGCUCUGCCCUUAAGAAUUAAAAUAUAAGAAAAGUCCAGACGCAGUUAUAUGCUGUAUGAAAUGUGCUGGACAACAUAUAUGGGGGCGUGGGCGUGUGGUCCAGUGCUCCCUCAGUCUUCUCUGCUUGUAUGAGGGCUUCAGGAUGUAUACGGCAGGGAGAAAUGAAACACUUCUUGAGUGUCUCUAUCAUGAGUGAUAUGUGGCUACAUAUAAGUCUGACAUUUACCUAUGCAUGUUUCAGGGGUCUGCAAGAAGCAGGUUUUUGAGUUUUACAACCUUUUCUGCAUAUGGGUGUUUGGUCUGCAUGCAUGUCUGUGUAUCAUGGGUGUGCAGUGUUGUUGGAAGCCAGAAGAAGGAGUCAAUCCCUGGACUGACUUGCCUGAGAGACUGGGGUAGUAGAUGUUUGUGAGUUCCCAUGUGGGUACGGGGCAUUGAGCCCAGGGCCGUUAGAAGAAUAGCCAGGGUUCUUGACUUCUAAGCCUUCUAUACAGCCCUUCCUCACAGUGGUCUUUUAAACUUAAUUUUUUGGUCCUUAUUUUUCCAUGAACAUCUCUAAGUCCGUGCUUGUUCUGCCCUGUACAAAAGCAUCUUCCUCGUGGUCUACCUUCUCCUCACGCUCUCAUUACAUCUCUCAAGGGAUCAUUUUGGGAACCUUUUCAUACUGAUUCAGACGGACACAGAAAUGAGUGUGUUCUUUCAAAAUAAAACAAAACUCAUUUACAGAUUCUAAAUGUCUAAGAUGAUAAAGGGAAAAUGUACAAGCCGGUAGGGUUGACAUAAGAUACGAUCCAACCCAGGAACGGAGGGCAGUGAGUUGGUGAUGGGUACCAUUUAGGAGUCACAUGAGCGAUGUCAGGAAGUGUGUUCUGCAGCUGAUCUCCUCACUCCUCACACAUCCCUUCCGUGUAUCGAGCACUCACAUGGUGCACUGCGGCCAUCUUUCUAUGGCACAUCUCUUCUUAGCCUCGUUCUUCUGGAACCAAGCUGUUCUUGGUUUCUGGGUCUCCGGGGAAACUCAAUAAGCGGAUUUGCUUUCUUUUUCUUUCCCAAAACCACAUAAAAGACUAUGGGGCUGGUUUUUCUUGAUGUCUGGCUGUUCACAGCCCAGCUACAGCUCCUUCGGGUGGGCUCUUUAAAGGGCCGGGAUGCAUGCAAAGGUACCUAUGUGUGUUAUGAGCUCAUGAUUAUUUAAAGGACAUUGUGUGCUUCCGCAGAUACAAAAAGUCAGAAAUUUCAUGUAGGGUUGCAGGACUGUUCUGUCUGGGUUUGCUCCUGGUUCUAUAUGUCUUGGGAACAGAGGCCUAUACAGUCGGGGUAUUCUAUAAUAUUCCAGCACAUCUUUUCAAGGCUAUAUAUGACCUAGGCAGACAAAGGAAAUAUUUCUUGAGAGUAAAGGACAGGAUCCCCAGGAUUAAUAGAGACGACUGUCUUUCUCUGGAUAUGCGGGGUUACGACCCAUGCUAAGAUCCAGCCUCAGCAAGCACAGGGCUUCUUUCAUGCAAGGCAAUCCCCUGUUCAUGUAAGAUCACCAGGUCCUCUCCUGGUACCCUGUGGACACUUGGAUUUGAAAUCUGCAUUGCUAUAGAAAUCCACUGUCUGUCAUCCUGGAGUCUGUGAACAUGUGUGGAUGUGGUGCAAACAUGCAUGUGGUGGCUGCAGGUCUGUGUUGGGUGUCUUUCUCUCUUGCUUUUCAUCUUACAGUUUUCUCUCACUGAAUUGUGAGCUCGCUGACCUUGCUAGAACAGCUAGGCAGCAAGCUGCAGGAAUCCUCUCGACUGUUUCCUUAGCACUUAGACUCUAUGUGCACACUGUCAUAUUGGAGUUUUACCUGGCUGUUAAGAAUUGAACUCAUGUCCUCACGCUUGCAUGGCAAGUGCUUUACUGGCUGAGACAUCUCACAAACCCACCCUGCAGCCUGAUAUCUUUUGAGGACACUCAGGAAGCAGUGACAGACUACUAUGUUAGCUUGUACUUAGGGUAAGAUCUCAGACCUGUCAGUCUCAACAUAGAGCACCAUGUAUUAACUGAGCACUUAUUCCAUGCAAGGAACUGAAGGGCCUUUAUAGGGUAAUACACUCUCUACCCUCAUAGUACUUGCCACUGUCACAGAAUAGAAGAAACCCUGCCUCCCCCAUCAAACUAGUAAGUAGAAAUUAUAGUAAGUUCUUUGCAGAGAGUAGGAUACUCAGCAGGUGACAGAAGGAAGCCCCUUAAAAGGGGUGGGUAAAGCAGGCCUCCCCUUUUUCAUAUGGUACCAAAGAAGGAUGAACUGUAAUGGGCUGAUGAGGAGCUGGUGGAAGAGAAUUCUGGGUAGGUGGAACAGCUUAUGCAAAGGCUCUGAGGUGGGACAGAAGUGCACUGAAGCAUGACUGAAGAUGGUGAUCCAAAAGCAGAGUGAUGUGAGUUUGGGAAAAUCUAGGAGGAGGCGGGGACAGAUUAUCUGGGACCCUAUAGUCCAUCAGAGAAGUCAGAUCUUAUUUGGGGGCAGCUGGGAAUAUGUGAACAUUUUAAACAGAGGAAGGCCAGUACUUAGCUUGUAGUUUUGGAAGUUGUUCCCACUAUGAGGUAGGGACUACUUCUCACUGAUCAAACAUGGGUGGCUGGGUGUUUUUGUAGAACUGGGUCAUUCUAGGGCCAGUGUUCCUAAUUCUCAACUUUAUAUCUUCAGGUCUAAAACAUCAAGGGGCUAGGAAGCUCCUUGUCACCAAGGUUCUGUAUAAGGGGACAGAGGUCUCUGCCUGCUCUCCACUUGUCUCAAGACCCCAGCUGGGGACAUUUAUCCUUAUGUCUCAGCUUAGACGUCAUUUGGUAUCCAGGUGGCUUCUUCCCUCCCUUUGGUCAGUGUGAGCUUUGUGUAUCCCUCUUUCAUUCUGUUACUUCUCUCACUGCCUUGUGGUGGUCUGUCUUUAAUUUUUCUUCAAGCACUUCGGUUCUGAUUUCAGAACGAGGCCAGAUGCUCAUGGAUCUGGAGAUUUUCGGUGUCUGGCACAUAGUAGGCACGGUGUCUGGCACAUAGUAGGCAUUUGAUGAGAAACCACAGAAGUGUGAUAAUGUGUGCAUGCACACAUGCUUAAGAAGCUAGAGAAUCUUGAGCGAGCAAAAACUGCAAUGAAAGCUUACCAAACAUUUCCAUUACGUUUCCUGAAGUCUUAUAUACAAAGCAUUUCUUACUGUUUUUGAGGGGGAACCCCACACCGAGAUGCUGCACUAUAGAAGGACUGCCCUUUUUAGUCCCCUUCCCAAUUACGCAUGAUUAGUAUCUUUGAAUGAACCUGGUUUAAGCUUUCCUAUGGGAGAAACAGUAGAGAUGAGAGCAUGCCCUGGAAUACAAAGAGGAUUUUUAUUGUUGUUUGCAGCAGUGAGAUUUGAAGCCAGGCCCUUGCAUGAGCUAGGCAGGUACUCUACCACCGACCUUUUCCCCAGCUCCUGGAACUGGGGUACUCAGUGGGUUCACACCGAGCUAGUAGAACACCCCUCUGUGGUUCCCAGGGGGACGCUCAUUCCUGCAAAGCAAGAGGUAACAGCAGAGUCCUGAGUCAUGGGUAUAUUUAGUGAGAUUGCCUGACACCCAUCUAACACUCCCCUUCCAUUUCCGAUUGCGGGGGUUUUCGUCCUCCUGGCUGCUCUCCGUGGAGGGUGUUCUGAUGAUAGGUGUGUGGGAAAGAACUUCCGGACCAAAUGAAACACUGUUCUUUUCCCACAUUUCAGGGCAAUUGCUAUCAUUGCUCCAUCAAGGUGUCUGCCCGACUAUUAGGCUGAUCACUGUUGACUCUCUCUCUGAGCUAUACAGUGUUGAUGAGAGGGAUCCUCUGGGGAGAAUUGCUAUUUCCAGCUUUGACAGGCAGGGAGGGUAAUGGCUGGGGGUGGGGGUAAUCUUCACACUACCUGUCCACAGGAAAUGGGGGCAGAUGCUAUUAUAAGGUAACCAGGCUCCCAGAAAGCUGCUGGUUCAGGGGAACGAGAUACAUUUGGCUACUACCCAAAGAAAUCCACGAUUAAGAUAUCACAGCUGCAGUGGUGGCGCACACCUUAAUCCCAGCACUUGGGAGGCAGAGGCAGGUGGAUUUCUGAGUUUGAGGCCAGCCUGGACUACAGAGUGAGUCCCAGGACAGCCAGAGCUACACAGAGAAACCCUGUCUCAAAACCAAAAAAAAAAAAAAAAUCACAUUUGUGUGAAGUCUAUGUUCUGACUUCACAUCUUUGGUCAUGUGACCUUGGGUGGGUUCUUUCCCAUCCUUUUUAGCCUUGGCAUCCUCCACCUCCAAAGGACACAGAGACUAUGGUUUUCCCUACCACUAUGGCUUGUCUUUGUGUUGGGUGAGUUUCUAGAACACUCCUCCUUGUUCAACAACAAUAACAAAAAACACUCUUUGAAUUCCUGGGAUUGCCCUCAUGCCCACUGUUUCUUCCAGCACUUUGUGUUACUAUGGUAGUGACCAUCUCUCUGAGCCUCCCAACCAAGCCAGCUGCUGUGCACUGCCUGCUCUGUCAGGUACCAUCAGAACUGAAACACCAGCUGGUGAACAGGGAGUCGGGUCUCAUCCAGUUCUCACGCUAGUCCUAGAUCUGUGUCUUGUUCCUUCCACUGGGGAGUUAGUCUCUGCGGUGCUGCGUCUCUCCCUUGUUGGGACCUAACAUCACCCUAGAGAUUUCCCAUCUGCUGGGAGCUUCCUCUAUGACUUUCAGUAGACGAAGUUAUGACAUGGCUUUGGAGCAUAGGUUGGCAAACUUUCCCUGUGAAGGGACAGAUAGUAACUAUUUAGGCUCUGUGGGCCAUAUGGUCCCUGUUGCAACACUCAGCUCUGCUGUAACAGUGGGAAAGCUGCCACACACAACAUGCAAACAGAUGAAUGUGGCCUUGUGCCAAUAAAACUUUAUUUAUAAAAACAGGCAGUGGGCCAGAUUCGACCCCUGGGCUACAGUGUGCCAAUUCCUUCUCUUGAACAUUUGGUUAGCCUUGGGAGGGCCCAUCUUCCCUUAGCAAAGGAAUAAGGAUCAACCUUACAACCUAUGGUCACUAUCCAAACUUUGUGACUCUUUUUUUUUUAAAUUAUUUUUUAUUUUUAAUACAAUUCUGAAGUUGUGGUCAGUGACAAAGAAUUGUAGCCUGAUUUUCAGGUUGGAUCACAUGGAGCUUCCAAGAACAAGAAACCCCCUGUAAAAAGCCCUGCAGGGGCCCAAAGAGAAAUUCUACAAUGUAGUAUUACUGUAUACAUAAACAGUGUUUCAAGGUGCCUUUGUAAAGUCCCAAGCUCUCCCGCUCAGGACUACUGGCUGCAGGUCAGAGGGGGCUCAUUCAUGGUGAUCCUCACAUAGUCUUUGGAAUGUGAUUCCUCAUUUACCCCAGUAGGAGGUUGAGGUCCAGGCAACUCACUCAGCUACAGUGUGGGAAAGAGAAUCUGGAACAUAACCCUGCUCUCCGAGCCGCCCCCUCCUUUUUUUUCAUGAAUUUACUAACUCCAGACCUCUACAGUAAAUCCUGAAUCCACAGUUAAAAGUGGCUGGGGUAAUAUGAUGCUGUGGAGAGAUGCGUGAGGCCCAGAAAGUAAGGCCAUCCCCAUAUCUUGGAACCCCCAGGCCUCAGUUAGCUCCCCACAGCUCAGCUCAUUCCUCGGUGGAAUGGCUUAGCCACCCACUGGCUCCCAGAGCUUCAGUGGAGAUCGGUUAUCAUCGAUGGGAGAUAAAGACUCAGAACCUCCCAGAUGGUGACUGUGGCUCCUUGCAAUAUUAAAAUUCUGAGGGCUUUCUAGAAAACAUGAUUCUUUACAAGUAAUCAGCCUUUUGGGGUUUUAUCCUUGAGCUGCAGAGGCAAUUUUGGAUUAAACCUUAGCUUUUGUCUUUAUAUCUAAUGAAAAGGAGGCCUAAAAUGCAUCCCAAAAUGACAAGUGUUGAAUUAGAGCAUUUUGAGGUUUGCCUACUUGGGAAUAAAUAUAUGACAUUUAAAACCAUCGGUGUCUUCUCCCUGAUGAAUUUUUAAGUUAAGAGAAAAAAACCUUUUUUUUUUUUGACAUAUUCUCAAUUUUUACGAGGUUGGAGCUGAUACGAAUGGCCAGUGUUUCUUGGCUCUGCUAUACACUUAGAAAUAAAAAAGCCUUCUUUAUUCCUAAUAGGAGCCUGGGAGGUGAUACUGGGGUUGCCUCUGUUUUAUGAGAUGGAAAGCCCAGCAGUGUGCUCAAUGUGGCGAUUUCAAUGAGAUGCUCCCAUCAUCCAGGCAUCUGAAUACUUGGUCCCUAGUUGGUGGCUAUGGGGGGAGGCUUAGGAGCUGUGGUCUCACUGAGGAAAUACAUCACUGAGGAUGGGCUUUGAGGUGUUCGAGCCUUGUGCCACUUGGAGUUCACUCUUUCUGCUUCCUGUUGCUAUUGCAGACACGAGCCCUCAGCUUUCAGCUUCCGGUUCCGGUUGCCAUGCUUGCCUGAUGCCACACUUCCCUGUUGUCAUGGUGAAGGACUCAUCCCGGUGGAACCGGUGGUGGUCCCCGAAGUUCAGGAAUAAAGUUAUAGGGACGAUGCAAGUGAACACUAAGGACGGUGCCUGGGAGAUAAUUAGAAUUUAAAAGCAACCUCGUAAAUGUCCGACCGUGAACACUGGUGUCUACAGACUGCUGUCAGCUAGAGCAAUGGCUGUAACUUCCUUGGUGGUGAGUAGGUGCAACAAUAGCAUCCACAGCAAAAUGCCGCUCUAAGAAUGAACUGAGCCGAUGAUAUGCGCCAUGCCUGGAACUGCAAGCUCUACGUGUGCGAAUUGUGCGGCCAUGACAUCAGCCAUCUUUGUUAAAAGCCACUCCUCUAUCAAAUAUCCAAUGAAUAAAAUAGCAAGUUGGUGAAUGCGGGAAUGUAAAG